CAGUAGCCGCGGUAAUGCGUAGGGUGCAAGCGUUAAUCGGAAUUACUGGGCGUAAAGCGUGCGCAGGCGGUUUGUUAAGACAGAUGUGAAAUCCCCGGGCUCAACCUGGGAACUGCAUUUGUGACUGGCAAGCUAGAGUGUGGCAGAGGGGGGUGGAAUUCCGCGUGUAGCAGUGAAAUGCGUAGAUAUGCGGAGGAACACCGAUGGCGAAGGCAGCCCCCUGGGCCAGCACUGACGCUCAUGCACGAAAGCGUGGGGAGCAAACAGGAUUAGAUACCCGAGUAGUCCCUGUCUCUUAUAC
rnacentral:rRNA from 1 species